rnacentral:rRNA from 1 species
AUUGAACGCUGGCGGCAGGCUUAACACAUGCAAGUCGAGCGGAGAUGAGGUGCUUGCACCUUAUCUUAGCGGCGGACGGGUGAGUAAUGCUUAGGAAUCUGCCUAUUAGUGGGGGACAACAUUCCGAAAGGAAUGCUAAUACCGCAUACGUCCUACGGGAGAAAGCAGGGGAUCUUCGGACCUUGCGCUAAUAGAUGAGCCUAAGUCGGAUUAGCUAGUUGGUGGGGUAAAGGCCUACCAAGGCGACGAUCUGUAGCGGGUCUGAGAGGAUGGUCCGCCACACUGGGACUGGGACACGGCCCAGACUCCUACGGGAGGCAGCAGUGGGGAAUAUUGGACAAUGGGGGGAACCCUGAUCCAGCCAUGCCGCGUGUGUGAAGAAGGCCUUAUGGUUGUAAAGCACUUUAAGCGAGGAGGAGGCUACUGAGACUAAUACUCUUGGAUAGUGGACGUUACUCGCAGAAUAAGCACCGGCUAACUCUGUGCCAGCAGCCGCCGCCG